UACAGAGGUCCCAAGCGUUGUUCGGAUUUACUGGGCGUAAAGGGUGCGUAGGUGGCGGGGUAAGUCUGGUGUGAAAGCUCCGAGCUCAACUCGGAAAAGCAUUGGAAACUAUCCCGCUUGAGGGUCGGAGGGGAGACUGGAAUUCUCGGUGUAGCAGUGAAAUGCGUAGAUAUCGGGAAGAACAUCGGUGGCGAAGGCGGCCUGCUGGGCUCUUGCUGACACUGAGGCGCGACAGCGUGGGGAGCAAACAGG
rnacentral:rRNA from 1 species